AUGAGUUAACUAGUGCUUUCUUUUGUGCAGUCGGGAGCUAAGUGAAAUGAUGCGAAGGCUAAAGAGGAGAGGGUGAUGCACAAGGUUAAGGAGAAGAGGGCGAUGCAGAAGCCUAAAGAGAAGAGAGCGAUGCAGAAGCUGAAGGAGUAAUUUGCUAGAUAGUUAACAGCCUUUUGAAGAAUUGAUUUAUCAUAUUGAAGAAGUACGUAACUAAUUUUGUCUCAUGGGAUGGGGAAUAUCACGGGGGGUGAUAGUAAUUUGAACAUAUCCACACUCUCACACCUGUGCUGUUUGAGAAACCUUAUUCGAUACUCAGCUGUGACAUUUGAGAAUUCGAUACUCAGCUGUGACACGAGCGCUUGUUGGUUGUGUUUGUGUUGUAAUAUGUACCCUUCAUGGAGAAUUUUGGGAAGUCUAAGUUAACCGGGGAAAUGCAAUAUGCAUAUGGAGAGAAACCUUAUUCGAUACUCAGCUGUGACACUCAGAGUCAGUGGGCUUUUGGUUGUGUUUGUCUUUGUAAUGUAUCCUCCGUGGAGAAUAUUGGGGAGGCUAAGUUAACCAGAGAAAUGUAAUCUGCAUAUAUGAUGUUUCUAUGUUAAUGCUCUGUGAAUGCACUUGUUAUGUUGCCCAACCAUCCCUGGCGCUUCAAGAUUUUCGCGAGGGAACCAAUGAACCAUAGUAGUAGAUGGAGUACUAGCUAGCAUGCGAAGAGCAAAUCAAAGUAGGAUACAAGUAGGGG
rnacentral:lncRNA from 1 species